rnacentral:tRNA from 1 species
GCGGAAGUGUCGGAAUUGGUAGACGAGCAAGAUUAAGGUUCUUGUGACUGUAAGGCCGUGAGGGUUCAAGUCCCUUCUUCCGCA